AGGAUGAACGCUGGCGGUCUGCUUAACACAUGCAAGUCGAACGGAGUAGCAAUACUUAGUGGCGGACGGGUGAGUAACGCGUGAGAAUCUACCUUCAGGACGGAGACAACAGUUGGAAACGACUGCUAACCCCCGAUGUACUGAAAAGGCAAAUAUUUAUAGCCUGAAGAAGAGCUCGCGUCCGAUUAGCUAGUUGGAGAGGUAAAAGCUCACCAAGGCGACGAUCGGUAGCUGGUCUGAGAGGACGAUCAGCCACACUGGGACUGAGACACGGCCCAGACUCCUACGGGAGGCAGCAGUGGGGAAUUUUCCGCAAUGGGCGAAAGCCUGACGGAGCAAGACCGCGUGGGGGAAGAAGGCUCUUGGGUUGUAAACCCCUUUCAGCAGGGACGAAGCGUGAGUGACGGUACCUGCAGAAGAAGCGCCGGCUAACUACGCGCCAGCAGCCGC
rnacentral:rRNA from 1 species